AUGGAAAGCGGCGGACGGGUGAGUAACGCGUGGGCAACCUGCCUUUCACAGAGGGAUAGCCAAAGGAAACUUUGAUUAAAACCUCAUAAAGCUGGAAUAGUGCAUAAUAUACCAGCCAAAGAUUUAUCGGUGAAAGAUGGGCCCGCGUCUGAUUAGCUAGUUGGUGGGGUAACGGCUCACCAAGGCGACGAUCAGUAGCCGACCUGAGAGGGUGAUCGGCCACAUUGGAACUGAGACACGGUCCAAACUCC
rnacentral:rRNA from 1 species